GGCUAACGCUGGCGGCGUGUCUUAGCCAUGCAAGUCGAGCGGACUUAUGGGGUAACUUAUAAGUCAGCGGCGGACGGCGGAGUAACACGUAGCUAACCUACCCUCUGGACGGGGAUAACCUACCGAAAGGUGGGCUAAUACCCGAUGUAGUCAUCCUGUAUAGGGGUGAUGAAAGGUGGGCUUCUGUUUACAAGCUCAUGCUGGAGGAGGGGGCUGCGGCCUAUCAGGUAGUUGGUAGGGUAAUAGCCUACCAAGCCGAUGACGGGUAGCCGGCCUGAGAGGGUGACCGGCCCGAGGGGCACUGAGAUACGGGUCCCACUCCUACGGGAGGCAGCAGGCUAGAAAUUUGGGCAAUGGGGGAAACCCUGACCCAGUGACGCCGCGUGCAGGGAAGGAGCCCUUCGGGGUGUAAACUGCUGUCGUGUAGGGAGAAGGGUACUAAGGUGAACAAUCUUAGUACUUGACGGUACUACAGGAGGAAGCCCAGGCUAACCUCGUG
rnacentral:rRNA from 1 species